GGAGCCUUGAACUCAUGCCUUCUGACUCUGAUCCUGCUCCAAAUCUUGAGGAAAUAUGCAGAUUCCUGACAGCAGCAGAAUCUUUCAGAAAGGAGUCUCAGAAAACUUUAUUAGAACCAACUGGAAAGUAAGCUGGAAGAUUUCAUUAUGCUGGCAACUCCUGCAGUUCCUCUGGGCUGAAGAAGUCCUCCUGGAAGAGCAACCUGUAAUUUUCCUUUCCAGUGUUCGAUUGCAACUUCUAACCACCGUAGCCCCUUCAUGCCAGCUUCAGCCAGUCUGAGGGCACAGGCUGGAAAAGAGAAUCCUUUCCACUCCUUAUUUCUCCAGAAUACGCCUAUGCUGCCUCUGAAACACCUCCGGCCCAUCCCCCCCAUCUCACAGCUACUGCCCUAGGUCAUCUUAUCUCACCUGGAUUCAGUCUCAUAAAUGCCUCUUUCCACCCUGGUCCAUGCUAACCUCUGCUGCUGGAUCAGUUUGAUUCAGGUAUAGCUCCCCUGACUGGGGAACUAAAUCCCUCAGCCUAGUCCCCAUCGUCCUCCAUUACCUCUCCACAUUCAGCUCUCUCAACCUCACCUCCUUUUCUUCAUGUCUCCCUUACUUCAUCCUAAUCAAGCUCAUGUGGUCCACCCCACGAGCCCCUUCUGACCUCCCUGCCGCUGCUCAUUUUAACCUAUUCCCUGGUUGCCCAAAUCUACCUUGUCUGCAGCCCAGGCCCUGAUUUCUCUCAGGCAGGGCUCUCACGCCCCGCCGUCAUCAAGCUUUUCCAUCCAUCAGCUGGGGGAAAAUGGCUUCUGCUGGCAUCCCUUGACCUUAUCAAGACCUCUUUUAAAGUAUUUAU
rnacentral:lncRNA from 10 species